GAGAAAGUGACAGACAGAGUCUCCAAAAUGGCCGAGGGUUCAUUAGAGCUGGAGGGUUCAACAGAGCUGGAUGGGUCACUAGAGCUGUACUUUACAGUCAAAGGUUUGGACACACCAUUUCAUUCAAGGGUGUCUAUUUUAAAUAUUUUCCACAUUGUAGAAUAAUAGUGAAGACAUCAAAGCCAUGAAAUAACACUUAUGCAAAGAGAAAUGCAAAAGAAAUACAAAAUGACAGUCCGUCAUUAUCUUAAGACAUGAAAGUCAGUCAAUAUGGAGUGCAGCCUCAAAAACAAUCAAGUAUUAUCAUGAAACAAGCUCUCAUGAGGACCACCACAAGAAAGGAAGACCCAGAGUUCCCCUGCUGCAGACUAGAGGUUCAUUAGAGUUCCCCUGCUGCAGAGUAGAGGUUCAUUAGAGUUCCCCUGCUGCAGAGUAGAGGUUCAUUAGAGUUCCCCCUGCUGCAGAGUAGAGGUUCAUUAGAGUUCACCUGCUGUAGAGUAGAGGUUCAUUAGAGUUCCCCCUGCUGUAGAGUAGAGGUUCAUUAGAGUUUCCCCUGCUGCAGAGUAGAGGUUCAUUAGAGUUCCCCUGCUGCAGAGUAGAGGUUAAUUAGAGUUCCCCUGCUGCAGAGUAGAGGUUCAUUAGAGUUCCCCUGCUGCAGAGUAGAGGUUCAUUAGAGUUCCCCUGCUGCAGAGUAGAGGUUCAUUAGAGUUCCCCUGCUGCAGAGUAGAGGUUCAUUAGAGUUCCCCCUGCUGCCGAGUAGUGGUUAGAGUUCCCCCUGCUGCAGAGGUUCAUUAGAGUUUCCCCUGCUAUAAUAAUAAUAAUAAUACGCUUUUCAGGGACCCAAAGACGCUCUACAAUAGUAACAUGGAACAGAAAACAAACAGAAACAAAAUAAAUACUAUGAGAAAACAAUGAAGAUUGAGUUUGUGGGAUUUGGCAUGGCCAAGGGUAGGCGAUGUUGAACAGAUGAGUCUGCUGCAGACUAGAGAUUCAUUAGAGUUACCAUCGUCAGAAAUCUGCAAUUAAGUUCACCUCUGAUGGCAACCCAUAUAAAUGCUUCACAGAGUUCAAGUAACAGACACAUUUCAAGAUCAAUUGUUCAGAGGAGACUGUGUGAAUCAAGCCUUCAUGGUAGCAUAAGAAGAGACUUGACUGGACCAAGAAACAUGAGAAAUUGACAUUAGUAGAGUGGCAAUCUGACCUUUUUCCAAAUUUGAGAUUGUUGGUCACUGUGGGGAGUUUUCUCAGCAGCAGGUUCUGGGAGAGUCAAGAUCAAGGGAAAGAUGAAGGCAGAUGCUUGAUGAAAACCAACUCCACUCAGGACUUGGGUGAAGGUUCUCAACUCUAAGCAAAAAGCCAAGAGAAGGUAAACUGGCUUCUGGACAAGGAAAUGGUGGUGUUAGAGACUUGAACCAAUCAAACAGAUAGCUGGAGAGUCCUGAACAUGGCUGUGCAGCAAAGUUCUCCAUCCAACUUAAAACUUGAAAUCUGUUUCUGCCACCAAACCUUUUUACUCCCAAACUCAGUUUCAGGAUAUUUCACAAUUAUCAAUAUAUUUAUAGUGAAGAAAGGCACUAUAAGCCCAUUUCAAUGAUUCAAUCACAUCAGAAUAAAACGAAAUGCAGUGCCGGUAAAUAUGUUUUUAGCCAAAUGGCAAAUGUUGCCGAUUAAUUUAGCUUUCAUCAAAAUACGUAUUUGAUUAAUUUGUAGUGAUCUCCUACAAGCUGCAAAUUAAUUUGCCGAGUAGGUUUUGCUUUUUAAAGGAAAUAUUUUCUGAACAGGGGUGGGCUCAUUUCCAAUAACUAGCAGACAGCGAUGUCUAAAAUGCUGAAAGAGAGUCGUUUGCGAGGAUUGUUGGCGAGCUUAUGGUCCGCAUGCGCCGGCGAUCUGUUGAAGACCCCGCACUAUUUAAUGGUUUAAGUGUCAGCACCGUCUGGGGGGGAUCAAGAAAAACCAUCCUCUGAUCAAACCAGGGAGCAGAACUGGAC
ensembl:lncRNA